rnacentral:rRNA from 1 species
UGGAAGUUCACCAAGGAUGGGGUGUACUCUGCUUCGUCUGCUUACAAGGCACAAUUUGAGAGUCUCACAUCGUCCGAUCUCGUUCACUCUGUAUGGAGGGUUUGGGCCACCCCUCGGUGCAAGUUCUUUGCUUGGCUAGUCCUUCAAAACAGGAUUUGGACAUCGGAUCGUCUCAUACGUCGCGGAUGGCCAAAGUGUGGCCUCUGCCCACUUUGUAAGCAAUGCCAGGAGUCGGCGGCCCACCUCCUCUUCCAAUGCCGCUUCACCAUCUGCAUUUGGAACCAUAUUAUUACGUGGCUUGGCAUGCACCACAUUUCUACGUCGAUAUGGCAGACGAGGACUUCGGUGAAAGACUGGUGGAACGGCAACCUUCAGAUUCGCCUUGGCUCCCCUAAGGCGCUAGCCUCCUUGAUGAUGCUUAUCUCAUGGGAGAUAUGGACAGAGCAUAAUGCAAGGUCUUUCGAAACACGGCCAUCCCUUCCAUGGUCCUAA